CACGAUUUGAUUCCAUCCCCGGAAAGCUCGCUUUUACCCCCUGGCCACAGUAUCAGCCGCAAACGCCCCGGCUUGGCGUCCAAGGCCCUCCACAGCCUCACCCCACAACGCGUUCCUGCCUUUGUCCCCGGCCGCCCGCUCUGCGCCCCAAGUCUCCGGCUUCUUUAUGCAGGGGGCCGCCUGUCCUAGAACGUGCUCUUUCUCCCCGGAGAACCGUAGUGCACCCUCGAGAAGCAUCUCCAGUCCCCUUCCCAGGCAGCCCCAGGCCGUCUUCACACUCCAAGUUCCUUUAACUCUCCCCAAGGAAGCCCUGUGCUCCUCGGGAGCCCAGGGUGUCAGGUCACAGCCGUUAGCAGGUACAGGACACCGGACGACCACUCGAAACGCGCGGGGCUCCGCUGACCGGCCACUUGCUUACCGGAAGCUCUCUUUGUCCAAUCACAGAAGAAGGGCAAGUUGAGGGCGACGCCAGGAGUAAAGAUGGGAUCGUGGGCGCGCGCCCUUGUAGUUCGGCCUCCACGCGCAGAGCCACGCCCUCCUACGGUCCGCUCAACCGGUUCUUCCAAUAACGGAGAGGAAGGGCAACUGAACGCCAGGAGCUGAGAUGGCGUGCCGCAUCGCUCCGCGGUUCUCGGUAGUUGACUCUGGACUCCCCCUUUGUCUAACGUUGCAUCUUAAAGAGGAAGGGCGAGGCGAGGUCUGCACCUGUAGCAAACGUGGAGCCUGAAAGACAGUCUCGCACCUAGGAUCGCUUAGCUGGUACUUGGUGGGAGCUGUCCCGAGAGCCGUGACCCGCUGCUGUUGUGGCAAGGGGCAGGGCGGGCCGGUGCUUCGGCUUCCCGUCGUGGGCGUGUGCGGGAGCGCAGCCCUGGUACUAGGCCCGAUGGGGAGCGAGGGAGUUGCCCAGCAGCGACGAAGGUCACUGGGGGUUCCACGUAGCUAGGACUGUCUACCUGUACCGGCUGGACCCCGUUAUUUCCCUGAGCUUCAGCUGAGUAGAUGCCACCUUUUUCAGCCACUGGACAUAGAGGCAUCAUCAGUUGAGCAGCACUGGAACUCAUGUUGGAUGAAUGCAUCAUGCGUGACCCUAGAAACAGAUGCAGAAGAGCUGGUCAAGCUAGUAGGCCUCCAAACGAGGACGAGCCCCUGGCUCAGGGCCUGAGAAAGCAGUGGAAGAUGGCCCAAGUCCUUGGGCCCCUGCACCCACAUAGGAGACCUGGAAGAAGCUCCUAGCUUUGAAUCGGCCCAGCUCUUGCUGUUGCAGCCAUUUGGAGAGUGAACCAGCAGAUGGAAGACUUCUGUCUCUGCCUCUGCCUCUCUGUAACUCUGCUUUUCAAAGAAAUAAAUAAAUCUUAAAAAAAAAAAAAAAAAACAGCCAGAUUCCUUAGUUGAAUCAUAGAUGGGAACACUGAAAUCUUCGAAGGAAAUCCAUCUCUUUUUUUACAUUAUGUUCACCAGACUGAGAAGGUAAGGUGGAGUUUUGUAAAGGCCUGUGUGACUUUUUAAAAAGAUUAUUUAUUUAUAUAAAAGGCAGAGUUAUAGGGAGAAGGAGAAACCAAAGGGGGGGGGGGGAGAGAGAGAGAGAGAGAGAGAGAGAGAGAGAGAGAGAGAGAGAGAGAAGUCUUCCAUCUGCUAAUUCACUUCCCAAAUGGCUGCAAUAGCCAUUGCUGAGCCAGACCAAAGUCAGGAGCCAGGAGCUGCUUCUGGGUCUCAUGUGGGUGGCGGGCACAAGCACUGGGCCAUUUUCUGCUGCCUUACAGGUACGUUAGCCGAGAGCUGGGUUGGAAAUGGAGCAGCACAGACAUAAACUGGUACCCAUAUGGGAUGCCAGUGUCACAGGCAUCUGCUUAACCCCCUGUGCCACAAUGCCGGCCCCGACCUGUGUGAUUUUGUAGAGACCACUGACAUGACUGAAAGUCUGGCAGAAUGCUUCCUGAGGAGACUAAUAGUAUGGAGGUUAUCAAAGGAAGUCAUGUGUGGUUUUGGUUACCAGAGGGAGGGUGAUUAUAGCUCAUCAGGUGGUAAGGAUUUGUAACAUCUUUACCAAAGCCUUGUAUUUGCCCUCUAAGAUGUGGGAGCUGGACCCAGGCAUUAUUUGGUUUUGUGCAGUGGAACAAAUCACCCAACAUCCGGGUACUUUGAGCAAAGUCAUACUGUUAGAGCAUCCUCGGAAGCUGUCACUUCUUGGGUUGCUGCCUUCAUGUCUGAAUAACUGAGCUGAAUCCUGGGAGGAGGAGGAAAAGAAACAUCAGGAACAGUGUCAGGUGGAGCAAACUCAGUGUCUGAUUUUUUUCUAAGGCCAAGUCUGCAGUCAUCUUCAAUGUUUUGAAGAACAGAUAUCCACAGGGUCUAAAAGACCUGUAUUCAAUCACGUUUGACUGAAUGGUGAUGAUGAUGAGUAUUGACUGUCUCUUUUCAAAUCUCAAGUCUUGCAUCAGGGUGAUACUGACCUCAUUUACUUGUCUAGUGAAACCAACUGUGUUAUACAGACACUCCUGACAAUGAGGAAUAGUAGGGACCUGGGUUUUGUGUCCAUGUAAAAUGAAGUAAAGUGUUGGAAUAAAAAACUCAACCACCACCCCUUCCCCUAGUUGUAUGGCCAAGAAGUUUUCUACAGUGUCUUCACAGUCCUGGAUUUCCGGUAGAACCACACUCUCUUCCUGAACCAUGUAACUUCUUAACGGCAGCAGCAGCUGUUCAGGUGCCUUCUCUAGAUUGUUGUUCAGGCCUUCAACCCAAGCAGCUUGUAUUUGCUAAACAGUGACAAGUCUGAGGCAGCACUCUUAGGCUUUCAAGGAGGAUUGUCCCUGUGUAGACAAGUACAGAAAACAGCUGCAGAGUUGAAUGGCGAGUUGAUGUUCCCAGGCAGGAGCAGCCGAAUAAUACUCUUGCGUUGAAGCACUCAAAGCUCAUCUUCUGUCCCAGUGUUCAUGCAGCCGGUAUGAACCCCUCCCUCAUGGCCCACCUCAGGGUUAGAGAGGAUCAGAAUCUGACAGAGGCAAUCUGGAAGGGAGCAAGGGGUUGCUAGGCUGGUCCUUACGUGUAUUUCCCAGGGCGUCGGAGGUGAUGUGCGUCAGGUCUUGGAUGACUGAGCCAGGCACACACUGACGGCAUGACUGGAACACAUCCCGUGUUGCUAAGCUUGUGUACUAGCACUUGGAACUUGUCAUGGGCAGAUAUGUCUGCUGAAUAUGGUUUUGGGUUUUUCUGUUUUUCCUAUGUAAUUGGAACUUGUAUUACUUAUAUUCUUCUGAGGAAAGUGGAUCCUGUGAAACUUUACUGCAGUGAGGUUGAGGGAUAGAUGUGUAGAGACAGGCAUGAGAGCUUGAUACCUUUAAGCCCAAUCACUGUGCUCCAGUAAACUGUCGUGUGCUGUUCUGAGUGCAAGCGGCGAGUUAAGUUUUCUUUACUUUCUGUUGUUGCAACAUAAAACUUUCCAAGAAACCCAAGGCCACUUUUUAAAAAGCAGAAAUAUCUGGUAUAGAAUCAUCCUAGUUCCUUUUUGUCCUGACAAUGGGUGGGAUAGGGAGGUGGACUUCACAGAGAAGGGAAGAGAGACAAAACAGAAAGAUGCUUGUGUGGGGAGCGGGUAUACAAAUUCAGCUGUUGCAUCUGGCUCUCUGGAAGAGAGGCAGUGUGGUUUGCUGGAAGAAAUAUAAGACUGCUUGGUCAGAUCCCUCCUGCAUUCCCCUCUGGCUCUCUGAAGUGGGAGCAUUAUCUAACCUCUUUAAUCUCCUUUCCUCUGUGAAAUGGGGUUUAAAAGCUUUUUUUAUUUUCUUCAAGAUUUUUGGAAGGAUAAUACAAAUUGAAAAAUGUGGAAAAUACAUUUUAAAUAAGGGUGCAUAUGUUGUUUACUACCAUGGUGCUGAGAAAUUUGUGAUGAGACCAUUUUCCACUGAUUGAUUUAUUUAGCAAGCUUCCACAUAUACAAUGAUCAUACCUGUCAUUUUUUGGACACUGUUUUUGUGUGUUUGCCUCUGUGUUAAGAAGGCUGUUGGGUUGAUAACACAGCCUCUCCUUCAUAACACCCCAGCCUGUGAGAGAACUCUGGUCAGCUCAGUGCCAUGAAUUCACCAGACAAGGGCUGGGCUCGGUAGCUCACCUGCCCUUCCCUCAGAAGAGCUGGGUCUGGUUUGUGUCUGUCCCCGUUCUUAUUAAAACCCAGGAAUGAAAACUUUUCCUUGGUGGACCAGCAGGGCUAGGGAACCACAGGACAGGACCCCACUUUGUGAUGGGGCAGUGUUGAAUGGACUGGUACUAGUUAUGCUCUAAUGGAACUCACAAAGUUUGUGUUGUCUGCUGGGGAAAAUUAUGGCAGAGAUGCUGGGGGCUUUAUAGGGGGUGUGCGGGGGGUGGUUGAGAUCCCAGGGCAAUGUUGGUUCUUCUGCACCGAUGCACAGAGUCACUUCUUUUUUUUUCUUUUUUCUUUUUGAUAGGCAGAGUGGAUAGUGAGAGAGAGAGACAGAGAGAAAGGUCUUCCUUUUGCCGUUGGUUCACCCUCCAAUGGCUGCCACGGCUGGCGCACUGCGGCCUGCACACUGCGCUGAUCCGAAGGCAGGAGCCAGGUGCUUCACCUGGUCUCCCAUGCGGGUGCAGGGCCCAAGCACUUGGGCCAUCCUCCACUGCACUCCCGGGCCACAGCAGAGAGCUGGCCUGGAAGAGGGGCAACCAGGACAGAAUCUGGCGCCCCAACCGGGACUAGAACCCGGUGUGCCGGCGCCGCAAGGCGGAGGAUUAGCCUAGUGAGCCACGGCGCCAGCCAGAGUCACUUCUGUAAAGGGACAGAGACACUCAGGAUGGCCUGUAGAGAAAGUACUUAUGAUAUCUUGGAUGGUCUAAUACUCCUGCACCUUGGAAUUCUUUGACCUACUGUAUCUUCUCAUUGUUUUGUCGCAAAGUUCUCAUGAGGUGGGAAAAUGACUGUGAUAGGAGACUGGAUGAUGAUGUCAGAAGACAGUCUCGGUGGUGUUCUUGAUACUCACCGACUGAGUGAGUCUGGGCAAGUUACUUACCUUCUAAACCCCAGCUUCUCAAUGAUAAAAUAGGAAUGAUUAUACUGCAGUUGUUGAAUUGUUCAUGUAAAGUGUCUGAUGGUAAAUAUUAUAGAUGUUGACAGUUGCAAUGAUUAAACUCUGCCAUUUUAGUGCAAGCAACCAGUGAUGAUAUAAAUAUGUAUGUGGCUGGGUUCCAAUAAAACUUAUUUACAAAAAUAAGCAAUGGGCUGCAAUUGACCCAUGGACCAUCAUUUUCUAAAUCCAGGUUUAGAUGAAGUCCUUAUUUUAUCAUAGAAUUGGUCCUCAAUUAGUCUCUGUAACAUGAAUAAUCAUCUAUUAAAUGUUAAGUAUGUGUGGCAGGUGGGAGUCCUAAUUGUUUUGGAUACAUUCUCAUUUAAUCAUUGUGGUAAUUCUUGGGGAGAUCACAUAAUUAUUGCCAUUUUUCCAGUGAGGUAUUUGAGGCUCAGAAAGCUAAAUCUCCUGUUCAGUGCCACACAGUUGGUUGAUAAAACUCAUAAUUGUUUCUUAAUCUUGAGGUUUUCAAUCACUUAGUUCUCAUUAUCAUGUUUAUUAUGUCCUGCAAGAACAAUACACUAUUUGGCAUGAACUGUGACUCAUUUAUCUGUUGAGAAAAAUCUUUUACCAUUGCACAUCUGAUGCCCUUUGUGCUUUUGUGAGACAAUCAUCAGGGCCAGGAGCAGACUGAGCCCAGACCCAGAUCUCUUGAUCCUGAAGGAAAUGAUGAUAGAUACUUGUGUUUCUAAGAACAAAACAAGGACCAGUGUUGUGGUGCAGUGUGUUACCCUGCUGCUCAUGAUGCUGGCAUCCCACAUCAGACCACUGGUCCACGGGUUUUCCUCUCCUGCACUCAAGAACAGAUAACUAGAUUUGGCUCUUGCUAAUGAUUACCGUCUCCAGGACUGAUACUGAUGGCCUGAUAUUUAACCAUGACCUUGAACUCCUCUUGUUUCUUUUCAGUAAGCAGAGGAAAUGUGGUGUUUGCUGUUGUUGUUGUUGUUUUAUAAUACACACAGCGCUGGCCCCAGGGAUCAUUCUUUUGAAUCCAUUUUCAGGCAUUUCAUCAAUCUCUCUGUCUUCACAUUCUGAUAUUGAAGUGUUGAGUUCCUCUUGGAUUGGGGAGUCAUUUUGUCUUCCUUGUUCUUUUUUUUUUUUUUUUUUUUUUUUUUUUUUUGACAGGCAGAGAGGACAGUGAGAGAGAGAGACAGAGAGAAAGGUCUUCCUUUACCAUUGGUUCACCUUCCAAUGGCUGCUGCGUCCGGCGCACCACGCUGAUCUGAAGCCAGGAGCCACGUGCUUCUCCUGGUCUCCCAUGGGGUGCAGGGCCCAAGCACUUGGGCCAUCCUCCACUGCACUCCCGGGCCAUAGCAGAGAGCUGGCCUGGAAGAGGGGCAACCGGGACAGAAUCUGGCGCCCCGACCGGGACUAGAACCCGGUAUGCCGGCGACGCAGGUGGAGGAUUAGCCUAUUGAACCACGAUGCCAGUCGUCUUCCUUGUUCUUGUUUUUUGUAAUUCUGCAUUUAUUUUUAGGUGUUUGUGGAAACACUUUUUUUCUUUUUUUUUAAAAGAUUUAUUUAUUUAUUUGAAAGUUGGAGUUACACGAAGAGAGGAGAGGCAGAGAGAGAGAGAGGUCUUCCAUCCGCUAGUUCACUCCCCAGAUGGCUGCAACAGCUGGAGCUGCGCUGAUCUGAAGCCAGGAGGUUCUUCCAGGUCUCCCAUGUGGGUGCAGGGACCCAAGGACUUGGGCCAUCUUCUACUGCUUUCCCAGGCCAUAGCAGAGAGCUGGAUUGGAAGUGGAGCAGCUGGGUCUUGAACCGGCGCCUGUUUGGGAUGCUGGCACUUCAGGCCAGGGCUUUAACCUGCUGCGCCACAGCGCCAGCCCCAACACUUUGUUUUCCACUGAUGGCUUUAUUAAUUUAAUAUUUAUUUAUUUAUUUGAAAGGCAGAGUUAUAGAGAGGCAGACACAGAGAGAGAGGUCUUCAGCUGCUGGUUCAUUCCCCAGAUGGCUGCAACAGCUGGAUCUGUGCCCAUUCAAAGCCAGGAGCUUCUUCCAGGUCUCCCAUGCAGGUGCAGGGCCCAAGGACUUGGGCCAUCUUCCACUGCUUUUCCAGGCCAUAGCAGAGAACUGGAUCAGACAUGGAGCAGCCCAGAAUUUGACCCGGUGCCCAUAUCGGAUGCUAGCAGUGCAGGCAGCAGCUUUCCCACUGCGCCACAGCGCAGGCCCCUACUGAUGGCUUUUUUCCUUGAACUGCACCUCUGUGUCUUAGGUAGAGUGAAUGCUCCUUCAGUGGAUAUUCAGAGGGCUGUGCUAGGUGAGUCCAGGGGGCUCUGGUUGGUGCCCAAGGGUAGGGCAGGAGCCCAGGGUGACAUCCAAGUUGGGCAUGGUAGAUUCUUCUAUGGUCAGCAGGGGGCAGGGUAUGAUCCCAUCUGUUGGCAUAAUCACAGUAUCACCUUCUGUCUUCCAAAGUAAUCAAUGCCUGGAGUUAGUCCGCAGUGGCUACCAUCCCCUCUCACAUAGGGGCAUGAGCCACACAGAGUACCUGGUUUGAGCAUAGAACCCUCUGCAAUGACCCAUCUCAGGCUGUAGGGGAACUCUGAACCUCUGAAGCCAGAUACAGUGAUUUCCCAGAGACGCAGCCAUAGGCUGUGGUACAGUCACAGAAUUCUCAGUCAUAGUGUGCAGGGCUCCUGCAGUCACAGGGUAGAGGUCCACUCUCAGCUCUGUGAGCCUGCCCCAUCCACAGAGAGCAGAGGCGCUCCCAGAGCCUGCUGCCUGUGGGUGGUCCACCUGGGCAGGUUGAGCCCUGGAGCCUGUGAUAGAGUAAGUUAAGGGAGUACCUCACAGUCCUAAGUGGUUGCCCAGUCUUCUGCCAACCCUUCAGUCCAGACUUAAAGUCAGUAGGGAAUGUGGAUUUAUCCCUCUGAUAAAAUCCCCUAGAUGAACAUGUGUGUGAGCCUCUACUUGUAUUAAAAUGGCAUUUUCUCCCUGCUGGUUGCUGGGUGCCCUUGUCGGGGAAUGGGGAAAAAGAAAUGUGCUCUCCCUUCGUGGGGUUCGGAGAGUUCCUUACUCCCCAUCCCUCCCCGUACCCCCGGGCUCCAGGCCAGACUCAGAGUCAGUGUGGUGCACAGGAUUCUCCCUCAGGAUGUGUCACCAACGACAUGGAAUGCUGCAGUCUGCUUUGACCUCACUCUCUGAAAAUGGCAUCUCCUCCAGUCCCUGGCUGCGGGAGUCAUGGGUCAUGUCCGCACUCGCUGCUGCCUGUUUGUCCUGCCCAUGCUGCUCUGCGGUAUCUUCCUUCUUUCCAGCUCUACCCUAGGAAUCUUCCCCUGGUCAAAAUCAGCACAUCUGUUCCCUAUUCAACCAUCUUGAAUCCCCCAAACUUCUUAUUUCAUCUGGAAAUUGUUCAGCAAGUAGCUGAACACUAAGGAUUCUUGGGAGGAAAAAAUCCACAAUACUGUUAUCUCAACUGAACAAGAAUUAAUGAUCAAACAUUCAGAUUUCCAAUUGUUUCAUCAUUUUAUAAUGCUGAUAAUAUUUUUGAACUAAUUUUUGAAUUAAUGAUCCCCCCUCCCCCCAGUAUUUUCAUUAGUAAAAAAGGAAAAAAAAAAAAAAAA